AACGAACGCUGGCGGCGGGCUUAACACAUGCAAGUCGAGCGAGAACUCCGGUCUUUGCGGCGGUGGGCGGGUUACGGACUGGGGAGGAACACUUUGCUUACCUGCCGUUGUCGGUGACUUAGCGUCAUGACAGUUGGGCUAUUAGCGGGUAAGAUUUCUUGGUGCAGGAUCGGCCUGCGUUGGUUUAGGCAGUUGGGGGGGUAAUGGCCGCCCAAGCCCUCGGUCCAUAGCUGGUUUGAGAGCAUGGUCAGCCACACUGGGACGGAGACACGGCCCAGACUCCUACGGGAGGCAGCAGGGGGGAAUCUUAGACAAGGGGGGAAACCCUGAGCUAGCCAUGCCGCGUGAGCGAUGAAGGCCUUAGGGUUGUAAAGCUCUUUCAGCUGGGAAGAUAAUGACGGUACCAGCAGAAGAAGCCCCGGCUAGCUCCGUG
rnacentral:rRNA from 1 species